rnacentral:lncRNA from 1 species
CGCCCUUGAAUUUCUUUUUCUCUCAAAUUCUCGCUGAAACUUAAGCUAAGCCUAGCCGCUGCCACCCAAAUCCAUCCUAAUCCCUUUGGAUUCUCACCUAGUCCAUGAACUUCCAUGGAUGUUUGAAAGGCGUACCAGUCUCCUAUGGCUCCUUGUUUGUUGUUUCCUUGAUUUCAUCGACAGAUCUCAAAGAGAUCUAGUCCAGUCUUGGCUCAAAUUCUAUAAAUAUCCUCUUUCCGGCCAUCCAUGGAUGUUAGAGUCAGAUCCUUUACUUUUCUUGUCUGUAACUUUUCAAAGAAUUUUUCAUUUUCCUAGGUUCUCUGAAACCCUAGCUUUAAUAGAUUUCCAAUUUUUCUUUCAGAUUUGUCUUAUAUUUUUGUAUGUUAUGAACCUCUCAAAUGUUUUCCUUAAAUAUUUUCCGAUUUUUCAAAGUGAU